rnacentral:rRNA from 1 species
UACGUAGGGAGCAAGCGUUGUCCGGAAUCAUUGGGCGUAAAGCGCGCGUAGGUGGCCUCAUAAGUCCGCUGUGAAAGUCAAAGGCUCAACCUUUGAAAGCCGGUGGAUACUGUGGGGCUAGAGUACGGAAGAGGCGAGUGGAAUUCCUGGUGUAGCGGUGGAAUGCGCAGAUAUCAGGAGGAACACCCAUAGCGAAGGCAGCUCGCUGGGACGUUACUGACACUGAGGCGCGAAAGCGUGGGGAGCGAAUGGG